rnacentral:rRNA from 1 species
CGGGAAAAGCUCAAAUUUAAAAUCUGGCGGUCUCUGGCCGUCCGAGUUGUAAGUUAGAGAAGUGUUACCCGCGCUGGACCGUGUACAAGUCUCCUGGAACAGGACGUCACAGAGGGUGAGAAUCCCGU